rnacentral:rRNA from 1 species
AACGAACGCUGGCGGCAUGCCUAACACAUGCAAGUCGAACGAGACCUUCGGGUCUAGUGGCGCACGGGUGCGUAACGCGUGGGAACCUGCCCUUAGGUUCGGAAUAACUCCCCGAAAGGGGUGCUAAUACCGGAUAAUGUCUUCGGACCAAAGAUUUAGCGCCUUUGGAUGGGCCCGCGUUGGAUUAGCUAGUUGGUAGGGUAAAAGCCUACCAAGGCGACGAUCCAUAGCUGGUCUGAGAGGAUGAUCAGCCACACUGGGACUGAGACACGGCCCAGACUCCUACGGGAGGCAGCAGUGGGGAAUAUUCGACAAUGGGCGAAAGCCUGAUCCUCCCAUGCCGCGUGAGUGAUGAAGGCCUUAGGGUUGUACAGCUCUUUUACCCGGGAUGAUAAUGACAGUACCGGGAGAAUAAGCUCCGGCUAACUCCGUG